rnacentral:lncRNA from 1 species
ACUCUUGGCUCAGCUUCUCAUUAGCGACUUUUGAGCAUCAACGUCUUCAUCUGCAGAAAGAAGCAGGUGGGCACACAAGAGGAAGGAGAGGCUGUCUCCCCAAUCCACCCUUGACCCCCUCUCCUCCCAGGAGGGAAAAGUGACUUGGCAGUACUCCCAGAGCCAAAGAAGGAAACCAGCCCCAGUGAGAGAAAUGUCUACUGGAAAGUAAAUGAGCCCUUCUAAUGAGCUGCUUACAUGGCUGCACCUGAUAUUCCAAGUAUUUCCUCCUGUCCUAGCCCACUCUAGGGCAGAAUCCCCAACCAUCUGUAUGUGAAAAUACAGAGAUGGUUAUUCUAUGGAAAAAACCACUAACUCCAUGAGUUCUAGAAUGCCUACAAGAUCUAUUGAAGAUUAGGCAUCAAUAACCAAUGUCAAUGCUGAGCAAAACACAAAAAAGGUUUCCUAAAACAGAGCUCGGUGUUUGCUGUUCACUUUAAUUUUAG